AACGAACGCUGGCGGCAUGCCUAACACAUGCAAGUCGAACGAGACCUUCGGGUCUAGUGGCGCACGGGUGCGUAACGCGUGGGAACCUGCCCUUAGGUUCGGAAUAACUCCCCGAAAGGGGUGCUGAUACCGGAUAAUGUCUUCGGACCAAAGAUUUAUCGCCUUUGGAUGGGCCCGCGUUGGAUUAGCUAGUUGGUAGGGUAAAAGCCUACCAAGGCGACGAUCCAUAGCUGGUCUGAGAGGAUGAUCAGCCACACUGGGACUGAGACACGGCCCAGACUCCUACGGGAGGCAGCAGUGGGGAAUAUUGGACAAUGGGCGAAAGCCUGAUCCAGCAAUGCCGCGUGAGCGAUGAAGGCCUUAGGGUUGUAAAGCUCUUUUACCCGGGAUGAUAAUGACAGUACCGGGAGAAUAAGCUCCGGCUAACUCCGUG
rnacentral:rRNA from 1 species